rnacentral:rRNA from 1 species
UACGUAGGGGGCGAGCGUUGUCCGGAGUUACUGGGCGUAAAGCGCACGCAGGCGGUCUGCUAAGUUUGGAGUGACAGUUGGUGGCUUAACUGCCAAAGUGCUUCGAAAACUGACAGACUUGAGGGCUUCAGAGGGACACGGAAUUCCGGGUGGAGUGGUGAAAUGCGCAGAUAUCAGGAGGAACACCGGUGGCGAAGGCGGGUCUCUGGGCAGUAACUGACGCUGAGGAGCGAAAGCGUGGGGAGCGAACAGG